GUCGAGCGGAACGAUGAUAGCUUGCUAUCAGGCGUCGAGCGGCGGACGGGUGAGUAAUACUUAGGAAUCUACCUAGUAGUGGGGGAUAGCUCGGGGAAACUCGAAUUAAUACCGCAUACGUCCUACGGGAGAAAGCAGGGGAUCAUUAGACCUUGCGCUAUUAGAUGAGCCUAAGUCGGAUUAGCUAGAUGGUGGGGUAAAGGCCUACCAUGGCGACGAUCUGUAGCUGGUCUGAGAGGAUGAUCAGCCACACCGGGACUGAGACACGGCCCGGACUCCUACGGGAGGCAGCAGUGGGGAAUAUUGGACAAUGGGGGGAACCCUGAUCCAGCCAUGCCGCGUGUGUGAAGAAGGCCUUUUGGUUGUAAAGCACUUUAAGCAGUGAAGAAGACUCUUCGGUUAAUACCCGGGGACGAUGACAUUAGCUGCAGAAUAAGCACCGGCUAACUCUGUGCCAGCAGCCGCGGUAAUACAGAGGGUGCAAGCGUUAAUCGGAAUUACUGGGCGUAAAGCGAGCGUAGGUGGCUUGAUAAGUCAGAUGUGAAAUCCCCGGGCUUAACCUGGGAACUGCAUCUGAAACUGUUAGGCUAGAGUAGGUGAGAGGGAA
rnacentral:rRNA from 1 species